rnacentral:rRNA from 1 species
CGGAAGACCAAGGGUUCCUGUCCAACGUUAAUCGGGGCAGGGUGAGUCGACCCCUAAGGCGAGGCCGAAAGGCGUAGUCGAUGGGAAACAGGUUAAUAUUCCUGUACUUGGUGUUACUGCGAAGGGGGGACGGAGAAGGCUAUGUUGGCCGGGCGACGGUUGUCCCGGUUUAAGCGUGUAGGCUGGUUUUCCAGGCAAAUCCGGAAAAUCAAGGCUGAGGCGUGAUGACGAGGCACUACGGUGCUGAAGCAACAAAUGCCCUGCUUCCAGGAAAAGCCUCUAAGCAUCAGGUAACAUCAAAUCGUACCCCAAACCGACACAGGUGGUCAGGUAGAGAAUACCAAGGCGCUUGAGAGAACUCGGGUGAAGGAACUAGGCAAAAUGGUGCCGUAACUUCGGGAGAAGGCACGC